AGCAGCCGCGGUAAUUCCAGCUCCAAUAGCGUAUAUUAAAGUUGUUGCAGUUAAAAAGCUCGUAGUUGAAUUUCGGGAUCAAAGGAUCGGUCAUGCCUUGGUAUGUACUGGUUUUAUUGGUUCUCACCUUCUAAAGAACCAUAAUGUCAUUCAUUUGAUGUUAUGGGGAAUUAGGACUGUUACCUUGAAAAAAUUAGAGUGUUUAAAGCAGGCUUACGCUUGAAUACAUUAGCAUGGAAUAAUGAAAUAGGACGUUUGAUUCUAUUUUGUUGGUUUCUAGGAUCGACGUAAUGAUUAAUAGGGAUAGUUGGGGGCAUUAGUAUUCAAUUGUCAGAGGUGAAAUUCUUGGAUUUAUUGAAGACUAACUACUGCGAAAGCAUUUGCCAAGGAUGUUUUCAUUAAUCAAGAACGAAAGUUAGGGGAUCGAAGACGAUCAGAUACCGUCGUAGUCUUAACCAUAAACUAUGCCGACUAGGGAUCGGAUGAUGUUAAUUUUUAAUGACUCAUUCGGCGCCUUACG
rnacentral:rRNA from 1 species